CGAUAGCAGCUCGGAUGAGCCUGUUGAGCCAUACAGUCUUCCAACUCCACCAACACCUCCCAGAAUGCCUUUUGCAGCCUGUGAACUGCUAAGUGAUUCACAAGAGGAGUCUCUUCCUUGCAGUGCCGGUGCCUCGACAGCUAUGUGGGUAAAGCAGCCAAAGAAGCUACCUUUAGUGAAAAGAAGAAAGGGCCCACUCACCCAUAUU